rnacentral:lncRNA from 1 species
GAGAAAAUAAUUUAAUGAUUUGCAUUCAAUAAUUUAAACAAAAAUUAAAUAAACAAUAUAUAAAUAUAUAUACCUACUAGAAAAAAAAAUCAUAAAAAAAGAAAAAAAAUUUGGGUUGUUACUGGAUGCUUUUGACGAAACUGAACGAGAGGAGUUCGUCAAUUCGCCGAUCGGCGUCGGGAGAAGGAGAAGUGGGAUGGCAACGUCGUCGUUUUGCCGGCGAGCAGAAACGGGGAAAGGGAAGAAGGGGACAGCGCCGGCGCAUGGGAAAGAGGGAAGGAGAAGAUCGGCGUAGGGAAGGAGAGAUCGGUGGCGGCUGGACACCACCGUUUGUGGUUGGUUGUUGUCGAAUCUGGACUUUUCCGACGGGUCUACCUCAUAUUUUGGGCAACAGUGAGGGUCUGGGUUGGUCGGAGUUAUUAAUGAUGGUUUCCGGCAGGUUUGGUCGGUUUUAGAGGGAGUUUCCGGCGAGUUUCUCGCCGGAAAUUUUGAAAAAUACCCUUUUUUUUUUUUUUUAAUCCCAUUCAACUCUCGAGAUCUCUCGCUCUCAAUUUCCCUCUUUUCCUAUUUUUCUUUCACACUCCAUUGAUUUUUUACUCUGUGUACAUAUUCACUCUGAUUCCCUCUUCUUCAAAGUUUUUCCUUUUGUGUUUUUCUCUUAGUUUCUGUCUGUGUUUUUUUCUCUGUUUAUCUGAUAGUGUGAUGAUAUAGAUUUUCAAGUAUGUAGAACAGUGUAAAUAUUCUUAAAUAGAGGGAUUUGAAAAAGGGGGGAACAAUUAUCUUUUAAAGGGGGG